rnacentral:rRNA from 1 species
UACGUAGGGUGCAAGCGUUGUCCGGAAUUAUUGGGCGUAAAGAGCUCGUAGGCGGUUUGUCGCGUCUGCUGUGAAAACUCGGGGCUUAACCCCGGGCCUGCAGUGGGUACGGGCAGACUAGAGUGCGGUAGGGGAGACUGGAAUUCCUGGUGUAGCGGUGAAAUGCGCAGAUAUCAGGAGGAACACCGGUGGCGAAGGCGGGUCUCUGGGCCGUAACUGACGCUGAGGAGCGAAAGCGUGGGGAGCGGACAGG